CUCUCUUCUCUUCUUCUCUCCUCUAUACUUAUAUAUUAUUACUAUUACUUAUAUUUCAUAACACGUUAUCAGCACGAGCUUACCAACUGAGGUACACAAUUCUUAUUCUAUUUUUAUAAAAUCACAAGUAGUUUUUAUUUUUGAUUAUUAUAUGAUUAUGAAUCAUUUGAACCUUGUAUACUUAUAAAGAUCAAAUAAUAAUAAUUAAAAUUAAAUAAAUAAAUAAGCAUCAUUCCUUUAUGUAUUUAAUUGAUUCAAUGUUGUUUACGCUUCGUGAUAUCCGACAUUUGUAUGGUGAAGCAUAACACUUUGAUCAUUA
rnacentral:lncRNA from 1 species